AGUGCCGACUUGCCUGAUGGGCGAGCCUCCCAUAACCCACUUAGUCAGUGGGGUACCUCUUUGGCCGACUGGUAAAGGAGUGGUUCUCCCGUUACGCUGGUCGCGGGUUCGAUCCCCGGCGCCGGCAAACCUUUCCUUGUCUGGAUUAAUUUAUCGUGUGUUUCGUUACACGCAGAGAUCAUGUUGGAGUAUAGUAAAAGAGUAAAAAGUCUGGCAUUUCAUACUCACCUUUUCACCUGCAUUCACAGGAUCACUUGGUGAACGUGCUGCUGAAGAGUGGAAAGUGUGACGGGUGGUGGCGGUCAAGAUCGUUGGCCCACUCCACCUUGGCCAUCCACUUCUGCCACGAGUUGGCCCACCAGACACUCCACACCAAGGUUAACAAGGCCAUCAGUGUGCUCCAGGCAUACCUUAAGGUGUCAGUGUGCUCCAUCCUGUGUCCCAGCAAAGGUUCUAAUUCCACCUCUCCACCUGGUUCUCUGUCAGGUGUCAGUGUGCUCCAUCCUGCCCCAGGAAAGAGACUUCCAGCGCUGGGCCCGGCCGCUGCAAGCCUUGUUGGGUCAGUGUGUGGGAAGUCGCCAAGGUGGAGUUUGAGGCGGUCAGCCUCAACCAUGAGGGCUGUGUGAGCGGCAGGCUGGCCGUGAGCCUUCCAAGGAGUGCUGGGCGGCCUGGUGCCCCGGCUGAAGGCAAGCGGCCACCCUGAGACACCAAAAGACUGGCUGACACAAGAUCUUGUGCUGGUACUGGUGGCUGAAGGCUGUGCAGUGGUGCGGACACAGGUUCAGAGCGCCCAAGUGGACCAAGGCUCUGAUACUGGUGAGUGUUGCUGCUGACAGAUUACUAAUAAGGGAACAGGCAGGGAAUAUAAACAAAACAGACAUGAAAGAUAUAAGAGUGGACAGUGUUGCCUCCUCUUAUUUUUAAUGUUUCCAAGGUUGCCACCUGCCUGGGAGCAGACUCAUAGAGGCCAGCGCAGGGCAGCAGGACAGCGCCCUCAGCAUUGAUGAGGAGUCUCUCCAUGAAGGCUGUCCCUCAAGGCACAGCAGCAGGCCACCGUCGCCCUUGUCAUUGGGAGCACCGAGAGUAUCCCGAGGAACACUUCAAUGUCCAGGUGUGAGGAUGUCAAGCCACCACAAGCCAGGAGGGAAGUGGCUGCCGGGACCAAGACAGCAGGUGAGGCAGAACCCUUAAGCCUCAGCUCUUCACCCCUGGACGAAGGAGGUGUUUCUUGGCGGACAAACUCGGGAGAGUCACCAGAAAAGACCUCGAUCGAUGAUGCAAGUUUUGCUCGCUGGAGACCACAAGAGCGUUCACUCGUGCCUCACAGUGUGGGUGAGGAGAGCAGCCUGGACCAGCUCCCAAAAGGUAUGUUUAACAGUGAGUCAUGCACACAGGCAGGAAGCAGCACUAGUCACCAGGAGACAUUUUGCAUAAAACUGGCAACAGAAUACUGCUGCUGGCCAGAAUGGAGGUCAGGCUUAAGCAGGAUCCCAGCAAGGUCCUCUCUUUACUUCUUUGUGUGAUUUUAAAAACACUGCAGCAGCCAAGGGGAACGCUCAAGAGAAAGUGUAAUUUCUAUGCAAACCUUCCUGCAGUGGUGAGCUGAAAGGUGAAAAUGUAGUUACCACGACUCCUUGGAGAAGAGACACCAUUAGUAGUUUGUCUGGUGAGGAAAGCUUCACCAGUCAUGCUGCUUGUACAGGGGAGAAGACUUCACUGUUGUCCUCCAAGCCUCUUUGCAAUGGGUACUCUGGAUCAAGCAGCAGACCAAGUGUCUUGUGUGUGUGUGUGUGUGUGUGUGUAUGUGUGUGUGUGUGUGUGUGUGUGUGUGUGUGUGUGUGUGUGUGUGUGUGUGUCUGGCUGGUGACCGAGUACAAUGCUUUACAUCUUUCAGGGAAGGACACAUGAUCUCCCUUCCAUCACACUUGCACAUUCUGCCUGAUUCUUCUCUUUCCUCCUCUUGGCCUUCAACGUUUCCCAAAAGAAAGUCUUCACAAGAAGCAAAGUUACUAAAAAUCACAGUAUAUUAUUAGAAAUAACUUUUAUUUUUACUUACAGAGCCAGAUGUCUUUAUGUACCUGAGAUGAAUUAUUAAUAUAUUUUUUACAACAAAGGAGACAGUUCAAGGGCAUAAAAAAUAAUAAUGAAAAAAAAGCCCGCUACUUGCUGCUCCUGAAUGGAGUACAGAGGAGUGACCAUAAAGAGAGGUCAAUUUCGGGAGGAGAGGUGUCCUGAUACCCUCCUCUUGAAAGAGUUCAAGUCGUAGGCAGGAGGAAAUACAGAUGAAGGAAGAUUGUUCCAGAGUUUACCAGCGUGAGGGAUGAAAGAGUGAAGAUGCUGGUUAACUCUUGUAUAAGGGACAGUAUAGGGAUGAGCUUGAUUAGAAAGUCGUGUGAGGCAAGGCCCCGGGAGGGGGGGAGGCAUGCAGUUAGCAAGUUCAGAAGAGCAGUCAGCGUGAAAAUAUCGAUAGAAGACGGAAAGAAAGGCAAUUUAUUUAUAUGUGGCCAUAGCAGUUGAAGUGGUAGUAGUAGUAGUAGUAGUAGUAGUAGUAGUAGUAGUAGUAGUAGUAGUAGCAACAACAGCAGAAAUAGCAGUAAUAUAGUAGUAGUAAUAAUUGUAGUAGUAGUAGUAGCAGUAGCAGCAGAAAUAGCAGUAAUGAUUUAAGUAUUGGUACAGUGAAACCAUUUUAGCUUCCUUGGGUCCUGUCCUCCCCUCCACCUUGCCACACAAUCCCAACACCUGUCCCUUCCUCUCACGUGCUAGCAACAGGCAACACAUGAGAGGAAAAAAUAGGUGUUGGGACUGUGUGGCAGAGCAGAGGGGAGGAAAGAACCUUUUAUGAACCAACGCCCCAAUGGACUCGCUAAAAUGGAUUCACUUUAGUAGUAAGCCAAGUUGAUAUUGCAUGCAUGU